UUCAGAAUUUACAAUUGCGAAUUCUGAAUCAAAACAUGAAUGUAUCGUAAAACAAAUAGCUUUUGAGCAAUGGUCGUGGACACUCGCGGGAGCAUGAACUCUCUGAGGAAUAAUGGGUUGAUGGAGCUCGAAAAGGGUGCUACUUUUCUUCCCCCUUGCCAAGCACAGUUCAAUCGAGUCUCUAUGCUUCUUUCGACAUCAAUAAAAUCGAGGCUGAGAUAGUUGCUAAUGCUCGGAACAGAGGUCAUGAUCUAUUGUGAGCCGGAGCCCUUGAACGGUCUCAUAUUUCAUUGGUGAAGCAGCUGCUGCUAGAAUGGCAACCACCUGGGCUAUGGAGGCAUGCUGGGAAACUGUCACUCUUGAGGGGGGUUUCCAAGCUGUCGCUUCUGGUCCAGUUCCAUUUCUUUACUCUGUGUGACAGUGGAUGUGCACGCAAUCAGUCACCCUCGUUCGGUCUGUUGAGUUGUGUUUCUGUGAUGUUUCUUUGUUUGGCUCGCUUUCUCUUCACUUGUAGUCAAGAUUGGAGCUUCUUUUUAUGGAUCAGCAUUGAAAUGAUGUGAAAUUUGUGGAAUAAGAUUCAAGGAUUUAUGUUU